GAUGAAGAACGUAGCGAAAUGCGAUAAGUAAUGUGAAUUGCAGAAUUCAGUGAAUCAUCGAAUCUUUGAACGCACAUUGCGCCCGCCUGUAUUCUGGCGGGCAUGCCUGUUCGAGCGUCAUUUCAACCAUCAAGCCCUGCUUGCGUUGGGGUCCUGCGGCUGCCCGCAGGCCCUGAAAACCAGUGGCGGGCUCGCUAGUCACACCGAGCGCAGUAAUACAUCUCGCUUUGGGCGUGCGGCGGGUUCUUGCCGUUAAACACCCCCUUUUUACCAAGGUUGACCUCGGAUCAGGUAGGAAUACCCGCUGAACUUAAGCAUAUCAAUAAGCGGAGGA
rnacentral:misc_RNA from 1 species